CUCGGAGUUUGUCCUGGCUCAGGAUGAACGCUAGCGGCAGGCUUAACACAUGCAAGUCGAGGGGUAUAGUUCUUCGGAGCUAGAGACCGGCGCACGGGUGCGUAACGCGUAUGCAAUCUACCUUUUACAGAGGGAUAGCCCAGAGAAAUUUGGAUUAAUACCUCAUAGUAUGUGAGAAUCGCAUGGUUUUCACAUUAAAGUCACAACGGUAAAAGAUGAGCAUGCGUCCCAUUAGCUUGUUGGUAAGGUAACGGCUUACCAAGGCAACGAUGGGUAGGGGUCCUGAGAGGGAGAUCCCCGACACUGGUACUGAGACACGGACCAGACUCCUACGGGAGGCAGCAGUGAGGAAUAUUGGACAAUGGGGCGCAAGCCUGAUCCCAGCCCAUGCCGCGUGCAGGAUGACGGUCCUAUGGAUUGUAAACUGCUUUAGUACGGACGAAAGGUUCUCUAUUAAUACUAGGGGGCUCAUGACGGUACUGUAAGA
rnacentral:rRNA from 1 species